rnacentral:rRNA from 1 species
AAUUUUGGGCAAAGGGGGAAAACCUGAAUCAGCGACAGCCGGGUGGAUGAAAGAAGGCUUUCGGGUUGUAAAAGCCUUGUUGGAUGGAAAAGAAACGGGUGGAUGUUAAUACCAUUCAGCAAUGACGGUACUGUCAAAGGAAGCCACGGCUAACUAUGUGCCAGCAGCCGCGGUAAUACGGAGGGGGCGAGCGUUGUUCGGAAUUAUUGGGCGUAAAGCGUGCGUAGGCGGUUUGUUAAGUCAGAUGUGAAAUCCCCGGGCUUAACCCGGGAAGUGCAUUUGAUACUGGAGAACUAGAGUACGGGAGAGGGGAGUGGAAUUCCGAGUGUAGCGGUGAAAUUCGUAGAUAUUUGGAGGAACACCGGUGGCGAAGGCGGCCCCCUGGACCGAUACUGACGCUGAGACGCGAAAGCGUGGGGAGCAAACAGGAUUAGAUACCCUGGUAGUCCACGCCGUAAACGAUGUGUAACUUAGGGUGUUGUGGGUAGUGGGACCUCUAUCUAGUACCGC